UACGUAGGGUGCAAGCGUUAAUCAGAAUUACUGGGCGUAAAGCGUGCGCAGGCGGUUUGGUAAGACAGAUGUGAAAUCCCCGGGCUUAACCUGGGAAUUGCAUUUGUGACUGCCCGGCUAGAAUCUGGCAGAGGGGGGUAGAAUUCCACGUGUAGCAGUGAAAUGCGUAGAGAUGUGGAGGAAUACCGAUGGCGAAGGCAGCCCCCUGGGCCAAGAUUGACACUCAUGCACGAAAGCGUGGGGAGCAAACAGGAUUAGAUACCCGAGUAGU
rnacentral:rRNA from 1 species